CAGUGUGAUCACAGGAAAGAAGGUAACGGUGUAAUCAUAAGUGAGGAAGUAACGGUGUGAUCACAGGAGAGGAGGUAACAGUGUGAUCACAGGAAAGAAGGUAACGGUGUAAUCAUAAGUGAGGAAGUAACGGUGUGAUCACAGGAGAGGAGGUAACAGUGUGAUCACAGGAAAGAAGGUAACGGUGUAAUCAUAAGUGAGGAAGUAACGGUGUGAUCACAGGAGAGGAGGUAACGGUGUGAUCACAGGAAAGAAG